UACGUAGGGUGCAAGCGUUGUCCGGAAUUAUUGGGCGUAAAGAGCUCGUAGGCGGUUCGUCGCGUCGGCUGUGAAAACCCGGAGCUCAACUCCGGGCCUGCAGUCGAUACGGGCGGACUUGAGUGUUGCAGGGGAGACUGGAAUUCCUGGUGUAGCGGUGAAAUGCGCAGAUAUCAGGAGGAACACCGGUGGCGAAGGCGGGUCUCUGGGCAGUUACUGACGCUGAGGUGCGAAAGCGUGGGGAGCAAACAGG
rnacentral:rRNA from 1 species